GAUGAACGCUGGCGGCGUGCAUGACACAUUCAAGUCGAACGGACGAGACCCUUCGGGGUUGAGUUAGUGGCGGACGGGUGAGUAACGCGUGAGCAACCUGCCCUUGUGUGGGGGAUAACGUUUGGAAACGAACGCUAAUACCGCAUAACGUAUUCGGAUUGCAUGUUCCGAAUACCAAAGAUUUAUUGCGCAAGGAUGGGCUAGCGUUGGAUUAGAUAGUUGGUGGGGUAACGGCUCACCAAGUCGACGAUCCAUAGCCGGACUGAGAGGUUGAACGGCCACAAUGGAACUGAGAAACGGUCCAGACCCCUACGGGAGGCAGCAGUGGGGAAUAUUGGGCAAUGGGCGAAAGCCUGACCCAGCGACGCCGCGUGAGGGAAGAAGGUCUUCGGAUUGUAAACUUCUUUUACCAGGGACGAAGAAAAUGACGGUACCCGGAGAAAAAGCAACGGUUAACUACGUGCCAGCCGCCGCGGUAACAC
rnacentral:rRNA from 1 species